CCCAGAAUCCUUGGUUAACCUUAGGGAUAAUGAGUGUGUACCUUUGUGUACUUGAUAAGCCGGUAUCGUCAGCACCCGUAUCGAGUCGGCGUUUCCGAUAUUGGUUAAGGAUCAGCCAUGUAGCUGACUUGAAAGUACCGUCACGCUGACUCGUCCCGAACUGCUAUCUGAUGGGUCGAUUGGCGAAUCUGUGUUACGUGAAAGCUAGAUAUCCGAGACUCCGAUUCGAAGCAGCCCACAAGGCCUUUCGGCGCUAAGCUGAAGUCGGUAUCGAACAGGAUAGAUACUAUAGUAGACGCACGUAGACCUAGCCCCGCGGUUUGCGAUAUAACUGGUGAGCGGCCAAGAGAGAUCGUUAAGCAUCCCACCUGGGGAGUACGCCGGCAACGGUGAAACUCAAAGGAAUUGACGGGGGCCCGCACAAGCGGAGGAACAUGUGGUUUAAUUCGAUGAUACGCGAGGAACCUUACCCGGGCUUGAACUGCAGCAGAACGAUUCAGAGAUGAUGAGGCCCUUCGGGGCUGCUGUGGAGGUGCUGCAUGGUUGUCGUCAGCUCGUGCCGUGAGGUGUCGGCUUAAGUGCCAUAACGAGCGCAACCCUUUUCUUUAGUUGCCAUCAGGUAAUGCUGGGCACUCUGGAGAUACUGCCACCGUAAGGUGUGAGGAAGGUGGGGAUGACGUCAAAUCAGCACGGCCCUUACGUCCGGGGCUACACACGUGUUACAAUGGGGGGUACAGAGAGUCGGAUAUACGCAAGUAUGUUCUAAUCCUUAAAGCCUUCCUCAGUUCGGAUUGGGGUCUGCACCCGACCCCAUGAAGCUGGAUUCGCUAGUAAUCGCGCAUCAGCCAUGGCGCGGUGAAUACGUUCCCGG
rnacentral:rRNA from 1 species